rnacentral:rRNA from 1 species
AACGCGAAGAACCUUACCUGGGCUAGAAGUGUAGAGGACGACAUCAGAGAUGGUGUUUCCCGAAAGGGUCUUUACAUAGGUGCUGCAUGGCUGUCGUCAGCUCGUGCCGUGAGGUGUUUGGUUAAGUCCAGCAACGAGCGCAACCCUUAUCGUUAGUUGCCAACGCGUAAAGGCGGGAACUCUAACGAGACUGCCUGGGUUAACCAGGAGGAAGGUGAGGAUGACGUCAAGUCCGCAUGGCCUUUAUGUCCAGGGCUACACACGUGCUACAAUGGUCGGUACAGAAGGCAGCGAAACCGUAAGGCGGAGCAAAUCCUGAAAAACCGAUCUCAGUUCAGAUUGUAGUCUGCAACUCGACUACAUGAAGUUGGAAUUGCUAGUAAUGGCGUGUCAGCAACAACGCCGUGAAUACGUUCCCGGGCCUUGUACACACCGCGAGC